rnacentral:lncRNA from 13 species
AUGGAUUUAGUAAAACAUUUUCCUCAUUCUUCUACACUUAAACUGAAAAUGGCGCCGGAAGAAAUGGCAGCAGUUUUACGGGCGUCCAACCAAUUGUGCUGCUGUGGGGGGGGGGGGGUUGUGUUAUUUGUAGUUUUUAUUUUGUACAUAAUGUUUCUGCAACCGUAUCUUACGGCAAAAAAAGAGCUUCUGAAUAUCAGGACAGAGAUCACUCACCUCGGAUUAGACAAAGAGCUUCUGGAUAUCAGGACAGAGAUCACUCACCUCGGAUUAGACAAAGAGCUUCUGGAUAUCAGGACAGCGAUCACUCACCUCGGAUUAGACAAAGAGCUUCUGGAUAUCAGGACAGAGAUCACUCACCUCGGAUUAGACAAAGAGCUUCUGGAUAUCAGGACAGAGAUCACUCACCUCGGAUUAGACAAAGAGCUUCUGGAUAUCAGGACAGAGAUCACUCACCUCGGAUUAGACAAAGAGCUUCUGGAUAUCAGGACAGCGAUCACUCACCUCGGAUUAGACAAAGAGCUUCUGGAUAUCAGGACAGCGAUCACUCACCUCGGAUUAGACAAAGAGCUUCUGGAUAUCAGGACAGCGAUCACUCACCUCGGAUUAGACAAAGAGCUUCUGGAUAUCAGGACAGCGAUCACUCACCUCGUAUUAGACAAAGAUUAUUUCUUCAACAAACAAGAUGCACAAGACAUCCUCCAAAUACCCGGCAGGGCCGACAUCCACGUUAUUUGCAAGAGGAAGCGACGCAGGUACAGAGGACACAGAGCCGGAUGCCUCGUAAGGACCCAGAGAAGGCGAGUGGGAAAGCUGCCUUUUCCGUCAAUACUACUCGCCAACGUGCAAUCAUUGGACAAUAAACUAGACGAGGUACGAUCACGAAUAUCCUACCAACGGGACAUCAAAAACUGUAAUAUCCUAUGUUUCACGGAAUCGUGCCUGAAUGACGACAUGGAUAUUCAGCUAGCGGGAUACACGCUGCACCGGCAAGAUAGAACAGAACACUCCAUUAAGACGAGGGGGGGGCGGUCUGUGCAUAUUUGUAAACAACAGCUGGUGCACGAAAUCUAUAGAAGGAAGAUUUUGCUUGCCUGA